rnacentral:rRNA from 1 species
CGAACGGGUGAGUAACGCGUGGGCAACCUGCCCUUUAGUGGGGAAUAACCCCGGGAAACCGGAGCUAAUACCGCAUAAUAUCCUGGUACCGCAUGGCACCGGGAUCAAAGCCUUCGGGCGCUAUUGGAUGGGCCUGCGUCGGAUUAGGUAGUUGGUGAGGUAGAAGCUCACCAAGCCAACGAUCCGUAGCUGGUCUGAGAGGAUGAUCAGCCACACUGGCACUGAGACACGGGCCAG